rnacentral:rRNA from 1 species
UACGGAGGGGGCGAGCGUUAUUCGGAAUUAUUGGGCGUAAAGCGCGCGUAGGCGGCUUCUUAAGUCUAAGGUGAAAUCCCUCGGCUCAACUGAGGAACUGCCUUUGAAACUGGGGAGCUUGAGUUCGGGAGGGGGUAGCGGAAUUCCCAGUGUAGCGGUGAAAUGCGUAGAUAUUGGGAGGAACACCAGUGGCGAAGGCGGCUACCUGGACCGGAACUGACGCUGAUGCGCGAAAGCGUGGGUAGCAAACAGG